rnacentral:rRNA from 1 species
GAUGAACGCUGGCGGCGUGCCUAAUACAUGCAAGUCGAGCGAACGGACGAGAAGCUUGCUUUUCUGAUGUUAGCGGCGGACGGGUGAGUAACACGUGGAUAACCUACCUAUAAGACUGGGAUAACUUCGGGAAACCGGAGCUAAUACCGGAUAAUAUUUUGAACCGCAUGGUUCAAAAGUGAAAGACGGUCUUGCUGUCACUUAUAGAUGGAUCCGCGCUGCAUUAGCUAGUUGGUAAGGUAACGGCUUACCAAGGCAACGAUGCAUAGCCGACCUGAGAGGGUGAUCGGCCACACUGGAACUGAGACACGGUCCAGACUCCUACGGGAGGCAGCAGUAGGGAAUCUUCCGCAAUGGGCGAAAGCCUGACGGAGCAACGCCGCGUGAGUGAUGAAGGUCUUCGGAUCGUAAAACUCUGUUAUUAGGGAAGAACAUAUGUGUAAGUAACUGUGCACGUCUUGACGGUGCCUAAUCAGAAAGCCACGGCUAACUACGUG